GGAAGCGAACUACGAGCGGAGUGAAAGGGCGCGAGAGGGGCUCUACGAAUCGGAAACAACAUAAAUUAAAAAAAGCAGUUGAACGAAAAAUUUGGAAUGACGCUAUAUUUUUGCCGUGAAAGGGCUAAACCUCAGAGUCUCGUUACCAAUCACGGCCUGCCGCUGUCAACAGAUGCCACGUGUUAAUACAUGAUUCAAAAGAUCCAACUAAGUGUUACAUGCUUGUUGUUCACAGCGUUACGAUGCCGUUUCUAACGGUGGUGAUGCACUCUCGAUGCGAAUCCAACGCUCGGUGCAACAUUGCUUGUGAUAUAAUCGUCAGCAUGCAUAUACAUAUUCUUACUGCCGGCUUUCGCCUAUCGCAUUCGGCAGGGUAACAAAUCCAGUCUAUUGCCUCCCGGUCCUAAUGGCUGACGAUCAGCGACGAAGAGACGAAACCAAAAAAAAACUACUCUAUCAACGCUGCGUCAGCCGCCAGACAACCAGUCAGCUUCAGUAAUGACAGCGAUAACGACAAUUAGAACAAUAGCAACCACCAAAAACCCUAAAGCUCAAAUGGCUUCAUCUUGGCGUAAAUCGGCCGGCCCGUAUUCUGACUGCGUGAUGCCCGUUUCGUCAGUGCCAUUAGUGCUUGCGCACCUUGUAUAGCAUCAACAUCGAUAGCAGCAGCAGCAGCGGCAAUAACAAUAACGACAACGACCUUAUAAAAAUAAUCAUUAAUAGUUACAGGCAAAAACUGCAGAGCGGGCCGGCCAUGGCCUCACGCUACCGCUGGCCAAUACUGCUAUGACAGGAACAGCAAACUCUCAUGGAGACGAAGCCAGCGAUCACUUGCAGAAAAGAAAAACCAGGGAACAACAUGAUUGUUCACAUGAUGGAAGCUGACGAUAUCCGAACGAAGAGAUAAACAAGUUGAUAAAGAAAAGAGAAAUGGCUACAGGAUUAAAUGUUCAGACAUGCCCCAUUAACAUUAUGCUAAAAUGGACGGUGCUGGAGCAGUCAGUCCAUCAGAAGCAAGUAAUACAAAAAAUAAUAACGGUAGUAAUGAGCGUCUAUAAAAAUUAAUGCCUUUUUGAAUUCACCUGCCUCUUGCGCAUCAUGCAUGCAUACAACUUACAUGAGUGCACGAUAUUCUUCGCACUAGCAAUCCAAAUGUAAAUUGUUUGACUAUUUAUUUCUAGGCACCGUAUGCUGGAAUACAAUUUUCUACAACCAACAGUUUGUGAAAACAGACUGCCGCCCUUCGCGAAAGACACUUUAGGGCAGUAUUAAGUAGCUGAGUAAACUAGAUUGUUCUGAAAAACAUGUCCGAAACGAGCACGUAAGAAUAAGAGCAUAUCCAUCUGAAGAUCUCAAGCAACUAAUACGAUGAAUAUUGUUCAGAAAUACAGUUCAAUUUUCUGUGUUUUCAGGAACAUUGUCGUGGUUAAUCUACCAGAAAGAACAUUAACAUUUUCAUGUUUGCUGCUUAAAUAUGUCCACUUGUUGCUCAGUCAAUUGAUCAAGCUAAAUUUAAGAAUAGAAGCAAAAAUGAUCCCCAAAUACGUGUACACCAAAUUGAAAUAAGCAGGCGACUGCAGAGAAAAUACACAAUGUAUGCGUUGCUUAGCUUUCGCUUGGUGAAUGAUGCUAUAUCGUUUUUGAUUUAUUUGAAAACGCAAAUAUAGCCAUUAAUUUUUAAGGAGCCAGUUUUGCGCGUUCUUAAUUUAAUAGCACAAUCAAACUUACAAUGAAAACCAUCGACAUAGCGGUUAGCUAGAGUUCCUAAGAGAUAGAAACACUAAAUUUUUCUUUGUUACUAUUUUCACUCUUAUAUCGGCAAUAAACGUGUAGAAUAACAGCAAAAAGAGAAAUGAUUAGGCCCCAUAAGAAAAUAAAGCUACGUAUACGUUAUAUAUAAUGUAACCAUAUCGCGGUAGAGUAGAUCAAUGUAACGCUAAGAAUGUUUUUAACUUUAAUAAUCUUACGAGUGAAUGUAUCAAGUGCAGACACCUCUUCAACAGGCCAUAAUGCCUGAUACGUCGUUAUAGAUUUGUUAUUAAGCCUUUUAUAAUCAUCUAGGUUUACGUUUGCAAUUAUAAAUAACUGUAAUGUGUAUCUUUGUUUUAUGUCGUUGGCAGGGCUCGAAUCAGCAACUCCUGGCUUUUUCAACGCUUAAGAAUAAUUUGAGUCUGAUUAUGUUACGUUCAACACCGGUUUUGUGUAAAUGUGAUAAGAAUGAAAAGGGAAAACAAAGUUAACUAGUUUAAAACGCAACUUGAGUUUGUGCAUAUCUCGAGUUUUCUUUUUAUCAUUGAUUAAAUCAACCGUACACUCGUAAACGAUACGUUCAAGUGUCUGAGGUUCAGCCGAUAUCUGCACCCAACGCAAACGAUUUGUAUUGUUAUGUGAAGUACACAUCGUGUCAAUCAGCCCCUCAUAUUUGCAGUCGAAAUACGCCUUCUAAUUCAAUCGGUUUGGACCUAUACUGAACAGAAAGGAUAAAAAAGAAAAAGGUGAAAAAUGUCCUGCUUUAUCAAUUAGCUAUCGCAGAGCUUAGUACGAUAAAAGGAAAAAAAAAAGAGAAAUAGAAGUCUAUUCCUCGUUUUUGAUCAUAACGUUUUUAAGAAGCUUUUACACUUCCUGAAUUCAGUAAAAGUAAAAGAAAGGGGAAGAACUGUAGAAACGAUAACCAUUGGACCUCCAAAGCGUGAAUUUACCUAAACUAUUAUUCAUUGAUACGUGUUCACAUGACUAGGAUAUGUUCGCCAUAGCCAGUCUCGUUUGCGGAUGAUGGGCAAUCGUUAAUUCUUUCCCCAGGUUUCUCUAGAAUGUAGCGCAUUUUUUUUGUAGCAAUUCCUAUAGUAUGGCCGCACUUAUAACGAGAAUAGUAAUAUUAAUACGCGCGCAUAAUCUGACGGAACACUACUAAAAGUUUAACUUAAGAGCGUUAGUCAACUAAUAACAGAUCAUUUUUAAGUAGUAACAGCUACAGUCAGUUUAUAGCAUAUUGUCGUUUCAGCAGAGAAAGACGUAAACCUAAGGAAUUCAUCAAGAAAUUUUGGACAGAAACAAAUUACGGUGUACGUGCUACCUUAACAGAUUCACAUUAUGACACCACGUUAAACAUAACAUCUAUCAGGCUGACGAUGCUAGUUUUGCUAUUUGGAACGAUAUAAACGCAAAGUAUAAUACAUAUUAGGUACACUCGCAGUUCUUUUGUUGAAGAUCUUAAGGAUUUUUUUUUUGCAUUUUUGGGUAUGUGUACUGCAUUAUCUCGCUCAUCUGUUUCGGCAGUACUACAAUGGAGUAUCAAAGGACGCCAACAGUUGUAAAUAAU